rnacentral:rRNA from 1 species
CCACGAACCGUCCAAACGUUAUUCGGAAUCACUGGGCUUAAAGGGUGCGUAGGCGGUGCGGUAAGUUGGGUGUGAAAUCCCUCGGCUCAACCGAGGAACUGCGCCCAAUACUGCCGUACUUGAGGGAGACAGAGGUAAGCGGAACUGAUGGUGGAGCGGUGAAAUGCGUUGAUAUCAUCAGGAACACCAGUAGCGAAAGCGGCUUACUGGGUCUCUUCUGACGCUGAGGCACGAAAGCUAGGGUAGCGAACGGGAUUAGAAACCCCGGUAGUCC